GCGAGAGUGGUGAAAUUGGUAGACGCACUAGACUUAGGAUCUAGCGCCUUUGGUGUGUGGGUUCGAGUCCCACCUCUCGCACCA
rnacentral:tRNA from 3 species